GGCAGUGGUAGCUCAGUGGUUAAACUGUUGAACUAUGGAUCGGAAGGGUGUAGGUUCAAAUCUUGCCCCUGCUG